GGACACUUAGGUUGCUUCCUUGUCCUGGCUAUUGUAAAUAGAGCUGCAAUGAAUAUUGUGGUACAUGACUCUUUUUGAACAAACUGUAAACAGAAAGAGUAACAUUAACUUGAAUCAUUUUUAUUAAAAAAAAUAGCAGAAGAUUGUAAAACUGUUAUUGCAAUUUUUUUCACCUGUUUUUGUAAUUUGUAGGCAUUGGGUUCUGAUGCAGUUGCCAUAAAAAUAACCUACACUUUCUACUUGGAAGCUCAUAAAGGCUGACUAGCUGCUGUCUGUUUCCUGCAGAGGCAUCUAAAGAAAUCCUGUUUCUUUGCUGGUGUCCCUAUAUUCUCCCUGACUCAGGGGCUGGGGAAGACUCAUUUGCUAGGUCUUUCUCAGCCUGUUGAAUUAGGAGCAAACAUGUCAUGUGCAAACAGGACAAUGGUUGACGAUCUAAGUGGGUUCACAGGUCUCUGAUCAUCAAGCUCCUUGUAGGAUCUGAAGCUUUCUGGUUCUCAGGUUUGGAGUCUGAUGUUCUUUUCUUGUUUGGCCCAUGCGGCAGAAAGCAUCAUAUCAGUUCUCUUUGCUGGAAUCUCAACAGUACCCAAGGUCUUAUACUUAUGGUUCCUAGCAACUGAUUUAUGAUAGGGCUUAUUUCAUUGGACUGUAAUGUUUUGUUUCAUGAAUGUCUCCCCUACUAGACUGAGGAUUCUCUUAAAGCAGGAAUAAAUAAACUGGUAGAAACCAUGAUGGUUUUUAUUUUAUGGUUAUAGAACGGAAAUAAUAGAACUUUGAAAAAACACUCAGGGCUGGUGCAGGGAAAGAAUGAUUGACAAAUCAUGACUGAACUCAUAUGAAUGAAACCACUCAGAUUUCCAAUAAUCUUCUCACAGGUCAUAACCAGUGUCUUUCUAUUUUAGAUCAAAUGAAAAUUCACAGUGAUUAAUUUUUAAAUCAAUGAUGAUGUCUGCUCAUACAUAUGAAUAUGUUCUCCCACCUUAAAAUACCAAGGGCAAAAUAUGUGAAAGAACAUUUUAGUUAUAAAUUGACAAUAAAAAUGGUCACUCACUCAAGUAGACAUAAGCUUGGAAUAACCUCUUUGUCGAGGUAAGUGUUUGAGAUAACAAGAUCUUCCUCUUUACUUAAUUAGAGAUUUUGUGUUUUAACUGGAGGCUCCAAAAUAUUUUCUAAGAAUGGAAUGUGAAUCAGUUGAAGAAUACGUAGCAAUGUUUUUUGUUUCCAAACAUGUUCCACAGCUUAGAAAGAAAAAUAAUAUAACUAUCAUACUAAUAAAUAACAUAUACAUAUUCAACCAGUAUCAUAGAAUUCUUCCAUUUCUAGUAAUACAACAGAAAAGCUAAUAAUAUAAUGGAUUAAUUUGUUAGGAUAAUUUAACUUUGCUAAAUUACAAUUUCUCUUUUCAAGAUUGACCUUUAAAUAGACAUCAGGGUUAUGAGCCAUAUUGAUUUUAUUUUCUGGCUAUGUUAAUUAUAAAGUGAUAUUAUCUAGCUUUUAAGGUGAUCAAUAGGUUUAUUCCAGAUAUUAAAAAAAACUACUGGUCCUGCUUAUAAAUUAUUUUGAUGAUUGGAGAGAAUGAGAUUACUAAUUAUUUAUAAUUUUAUUCAAAGCAGAGAUAAUUGUAGUUAAAUUGCUUUUAAAUAAAAAUACAGUAUUAGGUUAAUUUUAACUUGGGUUUCUGGUCAUUUAUGUUAAGGGUUAAUAAAGUUUUUCGUUAUCCUAAUUAUCAGAUCAUCAUUAAUAUUUUGUUUUUCCUUUAAAUGAAACAAAAUUACAAAAGCAACAGCUGGGCUUCCCUGGUGGCGCAGUGGUUGAGAGUCCGCCUGCCAAUGCAGGGGACGCGGGUUCGUGCCCCGGUCCGGGAGGAUCCCGCGUGCCGCGGAGCGGCUGGGCCCGUGGGCCACGGCCGCUGAGCCUGCGCGUCCGGAGCCUGUGCUCCGCAGCGGGAGAGGCCGCAGCGGUGAGAGG